GAUGGACCCGCGGUGCAUUAGCUAGUUGGUGAGGUAACGGCUCACCAAGGCAACGAUGCAUAGCCGACCUGAGAGGGUGAUCGGCCACACUGGGACUGAGACACGGCCCAGACUCCUACGGGAGGCAGCAGUAGGGAAUCUUCGGCAAUGGACGAAAGUCUGACCGAGCAACGCCGCGUGAGUGAAGAAGGUUUUCGGAUCGUAAAACUCUGUUGUUAGAGAAGAACAAGGAUGAGAGUAAAACGUUCAUCCCUUGACGGUAUCUAACCAGAAAGCCACGGCUAACUACGUGCCAGCAGCCGCGGUAAUACGUAGGUGGCAAGCGUUGUCCGGAUUUAUUGGGCGUAAAGCGAGCGCAGGCGGUUUCUUAAGUCUGAUGUGAAAGCCCCCGGCUCAACCGGGGAGGGUCAUUGGAAACUGGGAGACUUGAGUGCAGAAGAGGAGAGUGGAAUUCCAUGUGUAGCGGUGAAAUGCGUAGAUAUAUGGAGGAACACCAGUGGCGAAGGCGGCUCUCUGGUCUGUAACUGACGCUGAGGCUCGAAAGCGUGGGGAGCGAACAGGAUUAGAUACCCUGGUAGUCCACGCCGUAAACGAUGAGUGCUAAGUGUUGGAGGGUUUCCGCCCUUCAGUGCUGCAGCAAACGCAUUAAGCAC
rnacentral:rRNA from 1 species